rnacentral:rRNA from 1 species
AGAGUUUGAUCCUGGCUCAGAUUGAACGCUGGCGGAAUGCUUUACACAUGCAAGUCGAGCGGCAGCGCGGGGGCAACCCUGGCGGCGAGCGGCGAACGGGUGAGUAACAUAUCGGAACGUACCCGUCGUGGGGGAUAACACAGCGAAAGCUGUGCUAAUACCGCAUACGACCUGAGGGUGAAAGCGGGGGAUCGCAAGACCUCGCGCGAUGGGAGCGGCCGAUAUCGGAUUAGCUUGUUGGUGAGGUAAAGGCUCACCAAGGCGACGAUCCGUAGCUGGUCUGAGAGGACGACCAGCCACACUGGAACUGAGACACGGUCCAGACUCCUACGGGAGGCAGCAGUGGGGAAUUUUGGACAAUGGGGCAACCCUGAUCCAGCCAUUCCGCGUGAGUGAAGAAGGCCUUCGGGUUGUAAAGCUCUUUCAGCAGGAACGAAACGGUGGCCAUUAAUACUGGCUACUAAUGACGGUACCUGAAGAAGAAGCACCGGCUAACUACGUG